rnacentral:lncRNA from 1 species
CGAAGCGCGACAUGGCGGCGAGGCCCAGGAGCCCGGCUGCCCAGUGUGUACGAGGCGGGGGGCGGGGCUAGGCGCGGCCUUGACAACCAUUAGAGCGCUUGGGGCUGCGCGGCUCAGGGACUAUGUUUCCCAGGGGCCGUCGCGGCGGGCCGGAAGGGGCGGGCCCCCUGCCAGUGCUCACGCGCGCCAGUCCGGCUGAUUAUAUAAGGCAGGCUCCGGCCGCGUUCGUUCUUUUGCUUCGGAGGUGCUUGUGGUGUGUGGUAGUUUUGUUCGCGAUCCUCGGCAUGUCUUCCUUCGCUGCCCACCACGUUUGUUUAAUGGUUAACGCAAUUGGAUUCAGAAUGGAUGUUGCAAGACGGGCUCACCUCUGGGCUUCCACGGGAACCCCACUUUCUGUCUUCGGAGCUCUGGGGUUUGCUACCAGAAACCAGGGUUUGAAUGAACAAGGAUGAAUUCCAGGAGUGUGAAAGGAUUG